AUGAAGAGCACAGUGCUGGCACUCUUGCUACUGGUGGCGGUGCAAUGCCUCGCGCUGGGGUCUCGCACGGCGGCGGCGGCCAAGACAAGGCAGGGCGACUACCUGAACCGGCUGCGCGGGUCGCCGUCCUCGCUGGAGGAGGAGCAGACGACGACGAAGGCGACGGGUAGACCCGCGCCGGCGGCCGUUGCGGCGGAGGCCGGGCGCAAGGAGGCCGACCGCGUGGAGGCGCUGCCCGGGCAGCCGAGCGGCGUGGACUUCGCACAGUACGCUGGGUACGUGACGGUGGACGCCGCCGCCGGGCGCGCGCUGUUCUACUACCUCGCCGAGGCCGUCGGCGGCAACGGCGACGGGUCGUCGUCCAAGGGCAAGCCCCUCCUGCUCUGGCUCAACGGGGGCUCCGGGUGCUCGUCGCUGGGGUACGGCGCCAUGGAGGAGCUAGGCCCGUUCCGCGUCAUGAGCGACGGCAAGACGCUCUACCGCAACCCCUACUCCUGGAAGGCUGGAUCCACGGUGCUGUUCCUGGAGAGCCCGGCGGGGGUGGGGUACUCGUACUCGAACACGACGGCGGACUACGGGCGGAGCGGGGACAACCGGACGGCGGAGGACGCGUACCUGUUCCUGGCCAACUGGCUGGAGCGCUUCCCGGAGUACAAGGGCCGCGAGUUCUACAUCACCGGCGAGAGCUACGCCGGCCACUACGUGCCGCAGCUGGCCCACGCCAUCCUCCGCCACGCCUCCCCGGCCAUCAACCUCAAAGGCAUCAUGAUUGGGAACGCGGUGAUCAACGACUGGACGGACAGCAAGGGCAUGUACGACUUCUUCUGGACGCACGCGCUCAUCUCCGACGAGACGGCCGAGGGCAUCAGCAAGAACUGCAACUUCACGGCGGGCGCGGCGUCGAACGCGCUCUGCGACGACGCCUCGGACGCGGCCGGCGAGAGCCUCCGGGACAUCGACAUCUACAACAUCUACGCGCCCAACUGCCAGUCGGAGAAGCUCGUCACGCCGCCCAUCGCCCCCUCGAUCGAGAACUUUGAUCCGUGCACGGACUACUACGUGGAAGCGUACCUCAACUCGCUCCCCCACUUCUUUUUCCUUGAGAAAUGUGCUGGAAUUUUGUCUAUUUGGGGCCAAGCCCAAUAG
rnacentral:rRNA from 1 species